AUUGAACGCUGGCGGAGUGCUUUACACAUGCAAGUCGAACGGCAGCACGGGGGCAACCCUGGUGGCGAGUGGCGAACGGGUGAGUAAUACAUCGGAACGUGCCCAGUCGUGGGGGAUAACUACGCGAAAGCGUAGCUAAUACCGCAUACGAUCUACGGAUGAAAGCGGGGGAUCGCAAGACCUCGCGCGAUUGGAGCGGCCGAUGGCAGAUUAGGUAGUUGGUGGGGUAAAGGCUCACCAAGCCGACGAUCUGUAGCUGGUCUGAGAGGACGACCAGCCACACUGGGACUGAGACACGGCCCAGACUCCUACGGGAGGCAGCAGUGGGGAAUUUUGGACAAUGGGCGCAAGCCUGAUCCAGCCAUUCCGCGUGCAGGAUGAAGGCCCUCGGGUUGUAAACUGCUUUUGUACGGAACGAAAAGGCUCCCUCUAAUACAGGGGGCUCAUGACGGUACCGUAAGAAUAAGCACCGGCUAACUACGUGCCAGCAGCCGCGGUAAUACGUAGGGUGCGAGCGUUAAUCGGAAUUACUGGGCGUAAAGCGUGCGCAGGCGGUGAUGUAAGACAGUUGUGAAAUCCCCGGGCUCAACCUGGGAACUGCAUCUGUGACUGCAUCGCUGGAGUGCGGCAGAGGGGGAUGGAAUUCCGCGUGUAGCAGUGAAAUGCGUAGAUAUGCGGAGGAACACCGAUGGCGAAGGCAAUCCCCUGGGCCUGCACUGACGCUCAUGCACGAAAGCGUGGGGAGCAAACAGGAUUAGAUACCCUGGUAGUCCACGCCCUAAACGAUGUCAACUGGUUGUUGGGUCUUCACUGACUCAGUAACGAAGCUAACGCGUGAAGUUGACCGCCUGGGGAGUACGGCCGCAAGGUUGAAACUCAAAU
rnacentral:rRNA from 1 species